AAGCGUUUUUAUAGGGCUUUCUAUUUUGUGUUGUUUUCUUUAUGCGACAAAAUAGAAAUGCUGAUAAAAACGUCU
rnacentral:pre_miRNA from 1 species